GUGGUGACCUGGGAAUCAAUGUGUGAGGUGGUGCUAUGUAGCAGGAACCCCUCUUGCUUUGCAAAUAGUUUUUUGUUUGUUUUCCUUUUUGCCCAAUAGAGCCCUGCUCUACUGACCCUUCAAUGUGCCCGUGUGCCUAAAUAUUCCUGGUCGUGUGAAAAGAACCCAGGUAUUAGCUGAACUAAGGAGCACAAUUCUGCAACAUUUUGGCACCCAAACACGGGGCUUGAGAAAUGAAUGCAAUUGGAGAAACUGGUUGUUUUACCAGGCGUUGAUUGGAAAUGUGUGCUUCCCUUUAAGCAGUCAAGCUCAACUUGCAGAACUGAUGGGAACCCCUUGGGAAAACUGGCCUCAAAUGUUUGUCUACACAGUCCACAUACAGGGUUCUUAACCUGCGCAUAUUUAACUAUCCGGCUAUUUUGGAGAUUGAAAAAAGAAGACCUGAUUUAUCAUGUGCAAUAUCUCACACAUCUGUCAUUUCUAUUCUACCGCAAUUCG
rnacentral:lncRNA from 1 species